AGUUUGAUCCUGGCUCAGGAUGAACGCUAGCGGCAGGCUUAACACAUGCAAGUCGAGGGGCAGCGCGGGGUAGCAAUACUCUGGCGGCGACCGGCGAAAGGGUGAGUAACGCGUGAGCAACGUGCCCGUAUGUGGGGGAUAGUCGAUGGAAACGUCGCGUAAUACCCCGUAACACAUUACCCCGCAUGGGGUGAUGUUGAAAGAUUUGAUUGCAUACGGAUCGGCUCGCGUGCCAUUAGGUAGACGGCGGGGUAACGGCCCACCGUGCCGACGAUGGCUAGGGGUUCUGAGAGGAAGGUCCCCCACAUUGGAACUGAGACACGGUCCAGACUCCUACGGGAGGCAGCAGUGAGGAAUAUUGGACAAUGGCCGGAAGGCUGAUCCAGCCAUGCCGCGUGCGGGAAGAAUGCCCUAUGGGUUGUAAACCGCUUUUGCGGGGGAGCAAUAAGGGUCACGCGUGGCCCGAUGAGAGUACCCCGCGAAUAAGCAUCGGCUAACUCCGUGCC
rnacentral:rRNA from 1 species